UACGGGGGGGGCAAGCGUUGUUCGGAAUUACUGGGCGUAAAGGGCGCGUAGGCUGUGCUGUAAGUCAGGCGUGAAAGCCCCGGGCUCAACCUGGGAAUUGCGCUUGAUACUGCGGCGCUGGAAGGUGGGAGAGGAUGGCGGAAUUCCCAGUGUAGAGGUGAAAUUCGUAGAUAUUGGGAAGAACCCCGGUGGCGAAGGCGGCCAUCUGGCCCACAAUUGACGCUGAGGCGCGAAAGCGUGGGGAGCAAACGGG
rnacentral:rRNA from 1 species